GGGAAUACUGCAGAGCUAGGGAGUGGGAGAGGUAGACGGUACUCGGUAGGAAGGGGUAAAAUCCUUUGAUCUAUUGAUGACCACCUGUGGCGAAGGCGGUCUACCAGAACACGUCCGACGGUGAGGGAUGAAAGCUGGGGGAGCAAACCGGAUUAGAUACCCGGGUAGUCCCAGCCGUAAACCAUGCAAACUCAGUGAUGCAUUGGCUUGUGGCCAAUGCAGUGCUGCAGGGAAGCCGUUAAGUUUGCCGCCUGGGAAGUACGUACGCAAGUAUGAAACUUAAAGGAAUUGGCGGGGGAGCACCACAAGGGGUGAAGCCUGCGGUUCAAUUGGAGUCAACGCCAGAAAUCUUACCCGGAGAGACAGCAGAAUGAAGGUCAAGCUGAAGACUUUACCAGACAAGCCGAGAGGUGGUGCAUGGCCGUCGCCAGCUCGUGCCGUGAGAUGUCCUGUUAAGUCAGGUAACGAGCGAGAUCCCUGCCUCUAGUUGCCACCAUUACUCUCAGGAGUAGUGGGGCGAAUUAGCGGGACCGCCACAGUUAAUGUGGAGGAAGGAAGGGGCCACGGCAGGUCAGUAUGCCCCGAAACUCUGGGGCCACACGCGUGCUGCAAUGGUAGUGACAAUGUGUUCCAAAUCCGAAAGGAGGAGGUAAUCCUCAAACACUACCACAGUUAUGACUGAGGGCUGCAACUCGCCCUCACGAAUAUGGAAUCCCUAGUAACUGCGUGUCAUUAUCGCGCGGUGAAUACGUCCCUGCUCCUUGCACCCACCGCCCGU
rnacentral:rRNA from 1 species